rnacentral:rRNA from 1 species
UCGUGCUGGGAGACAGUGUCAGGCGGGCAGUUUGACUGGGGCGGUCGCCUCCUAAAGAGUAACGGAGGCGCUCAAAGGUUCCCUCAGAAUGGUUGGAAAUCAUUCAUAGAGUGUAAAGGCAUAAGGGAGCUUGACUGCGAGACCUACAAGUCGAGCAGGGUCGAAAGACGGACUUAGUGAUCCGGUGGUUCCGCAUGGAAGGGCCAUCGCUCAACGGAUAAAAGCUACCCCGGGGAUAACAGGCUUAUCUCCCCCAAGAGUUCACAUCGACGGGGAGGUUUGGCACCUCGAUGUCGGCUCAUCGCAUCCUGGGGCUGUAGUCGGUCCCAAGGGUUGGGCUGUUCGCCCAUUAAAGCGGUACGCGAGCUGGGUUCAGAACGUCGUGAGACAGUUCGGUCCCUAUCCGUCGUGGGCGUAGGAAAUUUGAGAGGAGCUGUCCUUAGUACGAGAGGACCGGGAUGGACAUACCUCUGGUGUACCAGUUGUCGUGCCAACGGCAUAGCUGGGUAGCUAUGUAUGGACGGGAUAAGUGCUGAAAGCAUCUAAGCAUGAAGCCCCCCUCGAGAUGAGAUUUCCCAACUUCGGUUAUAAG